CGUACACUCCUGCGGGAGGCAGCAGUGGGGAAUCUUGCGCAAUGGGCGAAAGCCUGACGCAGCCAUGCCGCGUGAAUGAUGAAGGUCUUAGGAUUGUAAAAUUCUUUCACCGGGGACGAUAAUGACGGUACCCGGAGAAGAAGCCCCGGCUAACUUCGUGCCAGCAGCCGCGGUAAUACGAAGGGGGCUAGCGUUGCUCGGAAUUACUGGGCGUAAAGGGAGCGUAGGCGGACAUUUAAGUCAGGGGUGAAAUCCCGGGGCUCAACCUCGGAAUUGCCUUUGAUACUGGGUGUCUUGAGUAUGAGAGAGGUGUGUGGAACUCCGAGUGUAGAGGUGAAAUUCGUAGAUAUUCGGAAGAACACCAGUGGCGAAGGCGACACACUGGCUCAUUACUGACGCUGAGGCUCGAAAGCGUGGGGAGCAAACAGGAUUAGAAACCCUGGUAGUCCCAU
rnacentral:rRNA from 1 species